CCCUUAGAUGUUCUGGGCUGCACGCGCGCUACACUGAAGCGUUCAACGAGUAUUCACCUUGCCCGGGAGGGUUGGGUAAUCUUUUGAAAACGCUUCGUGAUGGGGAUAGAUUAUUGCAAUUAUUAAUCUUCAACGAGGAAUUCCUAGUAAGCGCGAGUCAUCAGCUCGUGCUGAUUACGUCCCUGCCCUUUGUACACACCGCCCGUCGCACCUACCGAUUGAAUGGUCCGGUGAAAUCUCGGGACGGCGGCUCGGUCGCUUGCGUCCGACUGCUGAAACUUGAUUAAACCAUAUCAUUUAGAGGAAGGUGAAGUCGUAACA
rnacentral:rRNA from 1 species